rnacentral:rRNA from 1 species
GACGAACGCUGGCGGCGUGCUUAACACAUGCAAGUCGAACGGAAAGGCCCUGCUUGCAGGGUACUCGAGUGGCGAACGGGUGAGUAACACGUGGGUGAUCUGCCCCUUACUUUGGGAUAAGCCUGGGAAACUGGGUCUAAUACUGGAUAGGACCAUGCUGUAGGUGGUGUGGUGGAAAGAUUAGUUUCGGUAAGGGAUGAGCUCGCGGCCUAUCAGCUUGUUGGUGGGGUAAUGGCCUACCAAGGCGUCGACGGGUAGCCGGCCUGAGAGGGUGGACGGCCACAUUGGGACUGAGAUACGGCCCAGACUCCUACGGGAGGCAGCAGUGGGGAAUAUUGCACAAUGGGCGCAAGCCUGAUGCAGCGACGCCGCGUGGGGGAUGACGGCCUUCGGGUUGUAAACUCCUUUCAGCCAUGACGAAGCCCUUGUGGUGACGGUAGUGGUAGAAGAAGCACCGGCUAACUACGUG